rnacentral:rRNA from 1 species
UACGAAGGGGGCUAGCGUUGUUCGGAUUUACUGGGCGUAAAGCGCACGUAGGCGGAUCUUUAAGUCAGAGGUGAAAUCCCAAGGCUCAACCUUGGAACUGCCUUUGAUACUGGGGAUCUUGAGUCCGGGAGAGGUGAGUGGAACUGCGAGUGUAGAGGUGAAAUUCGUAGAUAUUCGCAAGAACACCAGUGGCGAAGGCGGCGCACUGGCCCGGUACUGACGCUGAGGUGCGAAAGCGUGGGGAGCAAACAGG